GCGCCCGUAGCUCAGGUGGAUAGAGCAGCAGUUUCCUAAACUGCGUGCCGAUGGUUCGAAUCCAUUCGGGCGCACCA
rnacentral:tRNA from 1 species